rnacentral:rRNA from 1 species
UCGACGGUAACAUUUCUAGCUUGCUAGAAGAUGACGAGUGGCGGACGGGUGAGUAAUGCUUGGGAACUUGCCUUUGCGAGGGGGAUAACAGUUGGAAACGACUGCUAAUACCGCAUAAUGUCUUCGGACCAAACGGGGCUUCGGCUCCGGCGCAAAGAGAGGCCCAAGUGAGAUUAGCUAGUUGGUAAGGUAACGGCUUACCAAGGCGACGAUCUCUAGCUGUUCUGAGAGGAAGAUCAGCCACACUGGGACUGAGACACGGCCCAGACUCCUACGGGAGGCAGCAGUGGGGAAUAUUGCACAAUGGGGGAAACCCUGAUGCAGCCAUGCCGCGUGUGUGAAGAAGGCCUUCGGGUUGUAAAGCACUUUCAGUUGUGAGGAAAAGUUAGUAGUUAAUACCUGCUAGCCGUGACGUUAACAACAGAAGAAGCACCGGCUAACUCCGUGCCAGCAGCCGCGGUAAUACGGAGGGUGCGAGCGUUAAUCGGAAUUACUGGGCGUAAAGCGCACGCAGGCGGUUUGUUAAGCUAGAUGUGAAAGCCCCGGGCUCAACCUGGGAUGGUCAUUUAGAACUGGCAGACUAGAGUCUUGGAGAGGGGAGUGGAAUUCCAGGUGUAGCGGUGAAAUGCGUAGAUAUCUGGAGGAACAUCAGUGGCGAAGGGCGACUCCCUGGCCAAAGACUGACGCUCAUGUGCGAAAGUGUGGGUAGCGAACAGGAUUAGAUACCCUGGUAGUCCACACCGUAAACGCUGUCUACUA